GACGAACGCUGGCGGCAUGCCUAAUACAUGCAAGUCGAGCGAACAGAUGAAGUGCUUGCACUUCUGACGUUAGCGGCGAACGGGUGAGUAACACGUAAGGAAUCUACCUAUAAGCGGGGGAUAACAUUCGGAAACGGGUGCUAAUACCGGAUAAUAUUUUGAACCGCAUGGUUCAAUAGUGAAAGACGGUUUCGGCUGUCACUUAUAGAUGGACCCGCGCCGUAUUAGCUAGUUGGUAAGGUAACGGCUUACCAAGGCGACGAUACGUAGCCGACCUGAGAGGGUGAUCGGCCACACUGGAACUGAGACACGGUCCAGACUCCUACGGGAGGCAGCAGUAGGGAAUCUUCCGCAAUGGGCGAAAGCCUGACGGAGCAACGCCGCGUGAGUGAUGAAGUUCUUCGGAUCGUAAAACUCUGUUGUUAGGGAAGAACAAAUUUGUUAGUAACUGAACAAGUCUUGACGGUACCUAACCAGAAAGCCACGGCUAACUACGUGCCAGCCGCCGCCGUAA
rnacentral:rRNA from 1 species